rnacentral:pre_miRNA from 1 species
CAAGUACUCCCUCCGUCUGGAAUUACUUGUCAUCAAAAUGGAUGUGUCUAGAACUAAAAUACAUCUAGAUACAUCCAUUUCAAUGACAAGUAUUUUCAGAUGGAGGGAGUACAAG